rnacentral:tRNA from 1 species
GCCCGGGUGGUGGAACGGUAGACACGGGGGACUUAAAAUCCCCUGCGCAAGCGUGCGGGUUCGAGUCCCGCCCCGGGCA